rnacentral:rRNA from 1 species
AUUGAACGCUGGCGGCAGGCCUAACACAUGCAAGUCGAGCGAGCGGCGGACGGGUGAGUAAUGUAUGGGGAACUGCCCGAUAGAGGGGGAUAACUACUGGAAACGGUGGCUAAUACCGCAUACUAUCGGAUGAACCCAUAUGGGAUUAGCUAGUAGGUGGGGUAAAGGCUCACCUAGGCGACGAUCCCUAGCUGGUCUGAGAGGAUGACCAGCCACACUGGAACUGAGACACGGCCCAGACUCCUACGGGAGGCAGCAGUGGGGAAUAUUGCACAAUGGGCGCAAGCCUGAUGCAGCCAUGCCGCGUGUAUGAAGAAGGCCUUCGGGUUGUAAAGUACUUUCAGCGGGGAGGCGUUACCCGCAGAAGAAGCACCGGCUAACUCCGUGCCAGCCGCCGCGGUAAUUC